AGAAGCUAUAAAAUUUGUAAACAAUUAGGAGUUUUUGCGUUGAAGAACAAAAUAUCUUGCAAAUCGACUCAAAUUAACCAACGAUGGAAACCGAGCUGCCCUCCACUAGUGCCAGCGCUUUAGCAGCUUGCAGUUCCAAUGCCAGUACCAGCGCACAGGUUCAGGAUUACACACAACUGACUCCAGAGUUACUGCAGCGAAAACUUUACUUUCUGGUUGACCAGUUGAAGCAGAUGCAUGCUCAGCUGCCAGAGUAAGUAUCAAAUACGUAUCUCCUAUGAGCUACUCACCGAGCUGGCUAAUUCCCUGCUAAACGAUACCAUUUUUGAGAUAGUCAAGGGACUAAUGGAAAUACAAAAUGUCACAGAAAGGCACCUGCUAACGCUGCGCAAGCAAAUUGAGACAGAUUUUGAGUUGGAAAUGCAAGAGUGGCGCAGUAAGAUAACCGAUCCAGAAGAAUUAAGCCAUAUCGAACAGCUUAUGCAAGUGAAACACGCAAAAAAGUUGCGUGAAACAGAUAUGAAAUUGAUAGCAUUGUUGGAUCAAAAGGUAAAAGACCAGCAGAGUACAUUGCUUAAGGCUGGCGUAGCGGGCUUCUAUGUCACUGACAAUCCAAGGGAAAUUAAAAUACAAAUGUUUCUGUUGGAUUUCAUCAUUCGUUUAAGCAGAAUUAAGUUUGAGCCAUAUAAAUAACAAGAGGAGUAAGACGUGGCCUUCACGUUUUACAAACAAUAGAUAUAUCGUCGUCGUCAGACCAUCAAACUCGCAAAGUAUGAGCGCUAAAUAAAGUACGACAACAACAAACAAUUGAGAGACCUCAUGUUGCUGAUGGGUAUAAAUAAAGCGC
rnacentral:misc_RNA from 1 species